rnacentral:rRNA from 1 species
UACGGAGGAUGCGAGCGUUAUCCGGAUUUAUUGGGUUUAAAGGGUGCGUAGGCGGAAUAUCAAGUCAGCGGUAAAAAUUCGGGGCCCAACCCCGUCGUGCCGUUGAAACUGAUGUUCUUGAGUGGGCGAGAAGUAUGCGGAAUGCGUGGUGUAGCGGUGAAAUGCAUAGAUAUCACGCAGAACUCCGAUUGCGAAGGCAGCAUACCGGCGGCGAUCUGACGCUGAGGCACGAAAGCGUGGGUAUCGAACAGG